UGAGAUGUUAGUGCCUGGUCCAUCUUCUCCCUGGACUCUGCCUUAAAUGGAGACUCUGCCUCGGAGAUUGUCCCACACUCAAAUAAAGGAAUGAACGCUUUCUAUUAAAGAAAUGCGGUGACUCCACCCUCCUUUUCAAGAAACAGGCAAUCAUCUUGGAAUGUUACAACACCGGAACGGGAGAAACACGACUGUAAAUCUAACAUUUCAUUGGCUGUAAAAUUGUUCUUAUACUCAGAUAUAGAACACAGCUUGUGCAGAAGGAUCGUUGCGGCUAGCCUCUACCCCUUCUGUAUCAGGAAAUCCUGGCUGACUUGGAGCAGGAGGAUUUUGUCCUGACACCACUGGUGCGGUGGGAGAACCCUCAUGGAGAAUCAUUCUUUUCUUCUACCUGGAUGUUUGACCCUUGGCAAGGAGCUGGUUGAGCUCUCCUGGGAGGUAGGAAAUGAUAAAUGAAUGCACACAGUGAUUUUUUCCUCUGUUAGC
rnacentral:lncRNA from 1 species